AUUGAACGCUGGCGGCAUGCCUUACACAUGCAAGUCGAACGGUAACGGGCCUUCGGGUGCCGACGAGUGGCGAACGGGUGAGUAAUACAUCGGAACGUGCCCGAUCGUGGGGGAUAACGAGGCAAAAGCUUUGCUAAUACCGCAUACGAUCUACGGAUGAAAGCAGGGGACCGCAAGGCCUUGCGCGGACGGAGCGGCCGAUGGCAGAUUAGGUAGUUGGUGGGAUAUAAGCUUACCAAGCCGACGAUCUGUAGCUGGUCUGAGAGGAUGAUCAGCCACACUGGGACUGAGACACGGCCCAGACUCCUACGGGAGGCAGCAGUGGGGAAUUUUGGACAAUGGGCGCAAGCCUGAUCCAGCCAUGCCGCGUGCAGGAUGAAGGCCUUCGGGUUGUAAACUGCUUUUGUACGGAACGAAAAGCCUUCUUUUAAUACAGGAGGGUCAUGACGGUACCGUAAGAAUAAGCACCGGCUAACUACGUG
rnacentral:rRNA from 1 species